GACGAACGCUGGCGGCGUGCUUAACACAUGCCAGUCGAACGGAAAGGCCCUGCUUUUGUGGGGUGCUCGAGUGGCGAACGGGUGAGUAACACGUGAGUAACCUGCCCUUGACUUUGGGAUAACGUCAGGAAACUGGGGCUAAUACCGGAUAGGAGCUCCUGCUGCAUGGUGGGGGUUGGAAAGUUUCGGCGGUUGGGGAUGGACUCGCGGCUUAUCAGCUUGGUGGUGGGGUAGUGGCUUACCAAGGCUUUGACGGGUAGCCGGCCUGAAAGGGUGACCGGACACAUUGGGACUGCGAUACGGCCCAGACUCCUACGGGAGGCAGCAGUGGGGAAUAUUGCACAAUGGGCGGAAGCCUGAUGCAGCAACGCCGCGUGCGGGAUGACGGCCUUCGGGUUGUAAACCGCUUUCGCCUGUGACGAAGCGUGAGUGACGGUAAUGGGUAAAGAAGCACCGGCUAACUACGUG
rnacentral:rRNA from 1 species